rnacentral:rRNA from 1 species
GACAGAGGUCCCGAGCGUUGUUCGGAAUUACUGGGCGUAAAGGGCUCGUAGGCGGCCAACUAAGUCAGACGUGAAAUCCCUCGGCUUAACCGGGGAACUGCGUCUGAUACUGGAUGGCUUGAGUUCGGGAGAGGGAUGCGGAAUUCCAGGUGUAGCGGUGAAAUGCGUAGAUAUCUGGAGGAACACCGGUGGCGAAGGCGGCAUCCUGGACCGACACUGACACUGAGGAGCGAAAGCCAGGGGAGCAAACGGG